GUGGGGAAUCUUGCGCAAUGGGCGAAAGCCUGACGCAGCCAUGCCGCGUGAAUGAUGAAGGUCUUAGGAUUGUAAAAUUCUUUCACCGGGGACGAUAAUGACGGUACCCGGAGAAGAAGCCCCGGCUAACUUCGUGCCAGCAGCCGCGGUAAUACGAAGGGGGCUAGCGUUGCUCGGAAUUACUGGGCGUAAAGGGCGCGUAGGCGGAUCGUUAAGUCAGGGGUGAAAUCCCAGAGCUCAACUCUGGAACUGCCCUUGAUACUGGCGAUCUUGAGUGUGAGAGGGGUAUGUGGAACUCCGAGUGUAGAGGUGAAAUUCGUAGAUAUUCGGAAGAACACCAGUGGCGAAGGCGACAUACUGGCUCAUUACUGACGCUGAGGCGCGAAAGCGUGGGGAGCAAACAGGAUUAGAUACCCCGGUAGUCC
rnacentral:rRNA from 1 species